CCUACGGGAGGCAGCAGUGGGGAAUAUUGCACAAUGGGCGCUAGCCUGAACCAGCCAAGUAGCGUGAAGGAUGACUGCCCUCUGGGUUGUAAACUUCUUUUAUAUGGGAAUAAAGUGGAGUAUGUAUACUGCUUUGCAUGUACCUUAUGAAUAAGGAUCGGCGAAAUCCGUGCCAGCAGCCGCGGGAAUACGGAGGGUCCGAGCGUUAUCCGGAUUUAUUGGGGUUAAAGGGAGCGUAGAGGGGUUGUUAAGUCAGCUGUGAAAGUUUGCGGCUCAACCGUAAAAUUGCAAUUGAUACUGGCAGCCUUGAGUGCAGACAGGGUAGGCGGAAUUCGUGGUGUAGCGGUGAAAUGCUUAGAUAUCACGAAGAACUCCGAUUGCGAAGGCAGGCUAC
rnacentral:rRNA from 1 species